AGGCGUGUCUCAUUGAUGUCGACGUUGAUGAUAAGGUGAGUCUUCAGUUCUGGAGCGACGAUUAAGAGAGUGGAGGAUGAAAAGUGAGCGGAACUCGGAGCGAGGCAAGGAGAAAGAUGGUGAGGUGAAGGAACUGGCAUAUGUACAAUGAUUUAUAUCGAUAGGCUGAGUGGCAGGCAUUGAGAGGGAUAGAAGGAGUGGGGUGGAGGAGGAGGAGGAGGAGAAGGAGGAUGAAAGAGGGAGCAUAUGGGUCUGUAGUAAGGGUUUGUGUGCAUCACAACAGUAAAUACCCCGCUGUAAGGAGAACACAAAGAGCAAGAAGAAGAGCAGGAGGAGGAGGAGAGGAAGAAAAAUAGAAAAGGAGAAAAGGGGGAAAAGAAGAGAAGAAAAAGGAGAAGAAGCAAAAGGAGAAAGAGAAGAAUUAAAAGAAGAAAGAGAAAAAGGAGAAAAUAAAGAAUUAAAAGAAAGAGAAGAAGAAGAAGAAGAAGAAAGGAGAAGAAGAAGAAGGAGAAGAAGAAGAAGAAGAAGAAGAAGAAGAAGAAGAAGAAGAAGAAGAAGAAGAAGAAGAAGAAGAAAUAGAAGAAGGAAAAGAAGAAAGAGAAGAAGGAAAAGAAGGAAAGGAAGAAGAAGAAGAAGAAGAAGAAGAAGAAGAAGAAGAAGAAGAAGAAGAAGAAGGUCACAAUGAAGACUAGAAGAAGGAGGAGAAGGAUGACCAUGAAAAUUAUACAACUGAAAAAUAAUGAUGACGAUGGUGAUGAAUAAUAAGAUGAAGAGGAAACAAGAACAAGAUGAAAGAAGAGAAAAAAGAACAUAGAAAGAAGAAGAAGAAGAAGAAGAGGUGAUACUGGCGGUAGCGUUGGCGGUGGGCAAGUGAGCAAGGGAAGAGAAGAGGCACUUGGAGGAGGAAGAGGAGGAGGAGGAGGAGGAAGGGGAGUUGGUUGGAUGGCAAAAGAUGUCUGGUCAGUAAACACGGGCCGAGAAAGUCCUCGCUGGGAGAGUAGUUUGAAAGGCUGUAAAGUUUUUCUAUCGAGGGGGAGGACGGAGAGACAGAGGCGUAGCAAGACUAUGAGGAAUAAACGAGACGGACGAGGAGAAGGAGAGGGAGGGAGGAGUAGGAGAGGACCCGCUACCCACUACCCACUACCACAACCCCAAGGCAACAGUUCCGCAGGAUAUUUCGGGUCGGCAGUAAUUGGUGGAGGGAAGGCUGGUCGUAGCGGAGUCAGGCAGAGUUUGGUUCUGGAGAGUCUCUUGCGUAUGUUUUUUUUCUUUUUUCAGCCUCUCAUCUUAUCCUCUGCGGGUGUCUUGCGUCGAGGCCUGACAGACGGGGCAAGCGAGAUGGAGCAGUCACUGGCGAAGGAGGCGAUGGAAGAGGAAGAGUAAGAGGUGUAGAAGGAAAAGGAAAGAUAGGGGAGUUUUAAGAGCGCGGUUUUAUGUUCCUUUGCAGUUUCUUUUUUAUUCUGGUGUUGAUUUAAGGGAACGAUUCAGAGAGGAUGAAAGAAAGGUUUUCAAAAUACGCUUUUGUCGCCUACGGGUAAGAAGAGGACUGAAAGAAAUGUGGGGAACAAACACAUGAAAGAAAGAUAUAAGUAAACAUAGAAAAUCCAGAUACCUUGACACAUCGCUGAGGGAGCUUGGGAGUAAUUAGGUGAUUAAGUAUAAACUAGACAGUUAUUAAGUUAAGGAGAAAGAGUUAAAAAUCUUUUCCCUUGUUGUGAAUCAGAGCAUGUUGGAAAGUUAAUCCCAGUUUCAAAUGUAAUUAAUUAACAUUGUAAUUGAGGCAGAUUAACUGGCGUCGUUCUGCUCCUGAGUAUUACCUUCAGUUAGGCCAGAAUAUAGAAAAAAAAAACAGUAGAUAGAACGUCAAUUUCCCCCCAAAAAAUAAAUGGUUAGAGAAAUUAGAAACAUGUACGAAAAAAAGAAAGAAAACAUUGUGACACAUGAAAACGGAACUCAAAACAAGAAAAAGAUGGUAAAACAAAUUCCAGAAGACUAAUGUGAAAGGACGUCCC